UUCUAUUUAAACAUAAUCAGAUGGCGCAUAUUAAAUCGCGAUAAACGGUCCAUAUUCACUUUCUAUUUAAAUGCGAUCGGAUGGUUUAGAUCAAACGCAAAAGACGGCCCAGAUUAAAAGAAAAUGGAUAUAAAUAUCCCUCUUCACACCAAACCCUAACUCUACAGCCAGACCCCCCUCACUGGAGAAGAAGAGUCAGUCGCUGGGAAGAGAGCCGAUCGCCGCUUGCCGCCGUGCCAGAGCCGCCUUCGACCUCUAAAAGAGGUAAAAAAAUUUUCAUUUGCUCGAAAUUUAAUUUUGAACACCCUCAUAGCCAAAUUGGAGCAAAAAGACCCGACAGAUGAGGCAGAAACUGCGGGUAAAGCCCGGAGGCGCUAUUGCAAGAAAAAGCAAAAACUUCCUCCGAUGAGGCCUUUCCCGAUUCCCGUUUCAUGUAAUUUUUCUACUAUUGUAAUCACCAUUCCUUUCUCUAUAGGUUGACCAAAACAAAACAGCUAACCGCAAAUGUGAGUUGGUAGAGCCACCGCACCCGAGAACUCCGCCGCAGUAAGCUUCGGUUUUUUGACUUUUUUCGGCCAACCGAGACCCCUUAAUGUAUUUUCUCACAAGGAUGGGUACAAAACUGGCUGAAAUUGAUAAAAAACGACCAACCCG
rnacentral:lncRNA from 1 species